rnacentral:rRNA from 1 species
AAGGAUCAUUAUUGAAAUAAGCUUGGUUGGGUUGUUGCUGGCUCUGAGGGGCAUGUGCACACCUAACACCAACUUUCUUACCACCUGUGCACUUUUUGUAGACUUUGGAAAAUACCUCUUGGUUUGAGGACUGUCGUGCGCAAGCCGGCUUUCCUUGCACUUUCCAGUCUAUGUUUUAUAAUAUACACCUAUAGUAUGUUUCAGAAUGUCAUUUAAUGGGCUUAACUGCCUUUAAUUACCAUACAACUUUCAACAACGGAUCUCUUGGCUCUCGCAUCGAUGAAGAACGCAGCGAAAUGCGAUAAGUAAUGUGAAUUGCAGAAUUCAGUGAAUCAUCGAAUCUUUGAACGCACCUUGCGCUCCUUGGUAUUCCGAGGAGCAUGCCUGUUUGAGUGUCAUAAAAUUCUCAACCUUUUCAAUCUUUCAUUGGUUGAAUUAGGUUUGGAUGUGGGAGUCUUUUGCUGGCUUCUUUAAGAGGUCGGCUCUCCUUAAAUUUAUUAGCAGGACCUUUGUUGCCCUCUCAGCGUUAGUGUGAUAAUUAUCUACGCUAUUUGCUGAAAGCCAACUCAUAAUAGGGUUUCCAGCUU